AGGGUAAUAGCUCAGUGGUAGAGUACAUGCUUAGCAUGCACAAGGUCCUGGGUUCAAUCCCCAGUACCUCCA
rnacentral:tRNA from 1 species